CCCCAGCCAGAGAGAGGGAUGAUAAAUACCUCCUGCAGGGGCCGGAGGAGGCCGUGGGGCUGUCCGGUGCGCUAGGCUGUAGGGGUGCGCGGGGGCUGUACCUUUAGAGCCUGUCUGGACUUUGGUGGUUCCAUGCAGAUGCAGAACGUCGCAGGGAGCAACACACUGCGCUCUCCCUCUCGCAGCGGCUCUGCAUUUGCUCUGCCCCUUAGUCGGGUAGGGAAGCCCAGGCUGCCAGCCCAGCUCUGCACAAGGGGAAAACAACUCCCAAGGCACAAAACACCUUUCCAUUGACUCACCAAUGUGACUGCCCCCCCUCCCACCUCCCCCAACACACAUUAACACUCACUGGGAUGGCUCCUCAGGUCAGUUCAGCUGCUCCAUGUUACCUGCCCGAGGAGAACCAACACCUGGAGGACACAAGAGAGAUGGAGAGAGAUGGUGAGAUCCCUUAGGACAACUCCGCCCACAGCCACCUGCAUGAUCCAGCUGAUGACCGGCCAUCCCAGCAGGCCACCUCAGAGCAGGGCCUAACUCCGCACCCUUCACCAGCCCAGCCGUGGGUCGUCCAUUCCUAGCACUCGGACGGUAACGCCCCCUACCCCAGCCACUACGCUCCCCCGCUCCUGCCGCUCGGUUUACAUGGCUGCAAGGAGGUGGGGACUCAGGCCUCCCCUGGGUUCUAGUCCCACCUCUGGGAGGGGAGCGUGGUCUUGUGGAUGAGCCCGAGGGUCAGGACUCCUGGGUUCUUUUCCCAACCUUGUGUCAGACUGGGAGUAAAUCACUGUGCCCCUGAAAUGGGGUUACGAACCCUCCCUUGCCACAUCCAUAAAGCACAUGCUGCUCCUCAGCUGAGUGGUGCUGCAGAGAGCUGAGCGAGCCCUGCUAGGUGCUCUGAUGGACACCCAAUCCCCUCGCAAGCCAUUCCUGGGCAGGAGCGCCUCCCCGGGACACCCCAUCAAAGGCUGGUCCUGCUGUCAUGGGCUAGGCGCUGGCUAGAGGCCGAGGGUGGAAUUUUCAAAAAGCACCUAACGGCUGUGACGCAUCCAACUCCCCUAGGCUGUGAGAGUUGGGAGCCUCAGCCCUAUUGCAAUGCUCACCUUAGAGUGGUGUUUGGGGGUGGUAUAGAGCCGGGGUGUGUCUUGGUGGCACUGGGGUAGUUUAUGUUUAAUAAGGGUACAGUGUGGAAUAAAGCGUAUCCAAGGGGAAAAUGGGUUAAAAACCUUCGCAGGAAGUGGGGAAAGGCCAACAGAAAUGCACACACACACACACAGGGAUACACACACACCACGGCACCCCUUUGUGAGGAUCUGCUGGGGUUCCCAGAAUUGUGAAUUACUGUCACAAAGGAGAGUUUUGCUAUUGCUAAGCUGUGUGACAACCCACCGCCACGCCGGCUUGUCUGCCCUGCCUGCAAACUCGCCAGGACCCGGCCCAUCCAAACCUGGCCUUGCUGGUAACAAAUGGCGAGUCCCAACUCCCAUGUUCCCUAGAGACACCCUGCCCCGCUCCUGCACACUCCCAGAAGUUAUUACGUUUGUUGCUCCUUUAAAGAGACAAUACACUGUGGCCUGUUAGCUGGGGUUAACAUGCCCUUCCUUUCCAUCAUGGCACUGAAUAGUAAAAGUAAAACAAGUUAUUUAACAGCAGGACACAGGAUCAAGUGAUACCAAGUAUAAGGAACAAAGACAGAAAGGGCUACAAGCAACCAAAAGUAACAAUACACUUCUAAAGACUAAAACUUAAUCAGCUCAAGUUCUUGUUCCAGAUAGUUUCCUUACUUACAGCAGCUUCUCCAGUGUGACUGGUUCUUCCAGCCAGGAUCCACCCUUACAACAUCCAAAGGCUGGUUUCUUUGAUCACUCAAGAAAUGGAUGGCUUUUCCUCUCACCUUAUCUUACCUAAGGCCAGUGACCUUCCUUCAAAAGGCAGGAAGAUUUCCUGGGGAUCCAGCCUCCACCCCCCCCGGAGAUUGUUAUGUGGUCCCUUUUUGCCCGCUUGCUCUCCUGAGGACUUGGUUUACCUUGCAUGUAAAUGUACCUCCAUGAUCUCUGCCUGACGACCAGGCUGUCAGGACAAACAAAUACACAUUCCUCUGUCUAGGGCAGGCUGGGUUAUGCAUUGCUUGUCAAACACAAACACAGUUUUCCAGAUCAUAUUUAUAACUCUUCAUACAUCCAUACACACACCACGCAGUGCUUUCAGGACCAGUGUGUAACCACUUGGUAUAUGAUACCUUACAGGAGACCUUGUGACCCAAGCCCAGUGCCCUCAUUCUAUUGCCCCCCACCCCAGGAGCAGGGACAUGGCUAGCGUCCCGUCCACCCCCAGACUCAGCAGCUGGGACAGAACAGUCCUCCCGAGCCAGCAUGUUAGCUGCCAUCUGCCUCGGUGUCUUGACUGAAUUCCAGCCACAGGGCCGUCUCCCCGCAUCCUCAUCUCCUGACGACUGGGCUGUGAAAUGACUUUCCAUGGAGGGUGGCUGAGCACAAUAGGAGUGAGAGACAAUGGCCCCGGACAUGCCCCAGCUCAAGGACACUCCAUGCCUUUCACGGCAGCUUCAGGAGGCAUGGGAGGUGGGGGAUGGAAAGCCUUUCUUUGGGUCGGGACCAGCCGAGCCCCCCUGCCCCCCCAGGGCUCUUUAACCCUUUACAAGCUGGCCUUGCCCAGGCUGCCAGCCAACCAGAUUCUUUAGCAGGAGGCCUGUGUGUCUGCAGCAUCCAGCAGAUGGCACAGGGACACCUUAGGAACCGCAGUGCUGCGGGCUGGGUGGAUUGAAAGAGCCGCAAGAGAGAAGCAGAGAGAGAUGGAGUUUCCCCAGGUGCAGUCUGUGGGAGCAGGGUCCCUUUAGGGGCUGAAAUACACAGGAUCCACACCCCGUGUCCCACUCCACAAAAGCCCCAACACACACACAUUGCAAACUCAGAGGGUGCAAAACAGAGUAAUCCUCCCCCCCCCGGGCCCCAAGAGCUACACCUUAAUCGGAGGCAGUAUUCGUCUACAGUCAUUAUAGUAGCAACUGGAAUCUGACAUGUUCCAAGCGCUCAGUUCAAGGGCCCCACCCAAGCCCAGCCACACUGGGCUGGUUUUGAUGCAGUGAGGCAGCCCGUGUUCCUAAGGCAUGAAGGGGGCCCUGGCGAUGGCACGCUGGCCGUGGGGUGGUGCUGAUCGUACCGCAUGGGAGCCAAGGCACAAGGACAAUGUUUCAAAGAUUCUGGGGUGUUAAACACAGGGUACCAGGCUUUGUGUAUGCCAGGCAGCGGGGUUGUGCGGCCAGGGCAUGGGGCUCAGGAGACCUGGUUCUCUUCCUGGCUCUGCCUUGGCACAUCACUUCCUCUGUUUCUCCUGCCCCCAUGUGUCUUGUCCGUGGAGAGCCUUUCUCGCCCUGUCUGUCUAGCACCUAGCACAAUGGGGCCGGGAUUUGCUUGGGGCUGCUAGGCACUUGUGGGCUACAAAUGUUAAAUACCCUUGAAAUGGGCAUCGUCCUUUAACACCACAGGUCCUGAGUUCACUCCCCAGGACGAUGGCCAGCGGAGUAGUCACCAGCCACACAAGCAGGUCAAACUUCUCCCCCGGCCGCUCUGCCAACGUGCUCCAGCCUUGACCAGUUCUCACCCAAGAGCGGCGACCCAAACAACCCUCGGCCCAGCACUGGAGCUGCCCACAAGGAGGAGCGUCAGGAAGAACCGCGCUGUGUAACAUCCUCAGCUUUGGUGAUCCAACUAGCCCAGCUGGGCGAUGCCAGGGCUGAGGGUCCCCCACACCCUAUUCCAAGCCCCAGAGCCACCCAGCCGCCCUCUUCACUGAAAUCGACGUCUCUGAAUCCCUCACAGGGAGCAGCAGCCAACUAAGAACAGCAGAGGCACCCCCAGGCUGAGAUCUUGGACUCUUCGGCAUUAACCAUCCAGCUCCCCAGCUCCUCACCUGGGACCACGCAUCAGCCAUCUGGUGAGGAUCCGCUCCCGGGGCCGGAUGGAUCCCUAGCGUCACCACACCAUAGCCGGUGAAGUGACACAGGAUGGGGCAGUGACUAUGGGGGUGGCUCUCCCCACACCUACUUGGGCCGGCCGGCAAGAGAAAUACCCGCUCAGCCUACGCUGACACUGCAUCGCCCUAACGGCAUCAACGCUGGCUCUGCCGCUUGUGGAGGUGGAGUUAAGGCAGCGGAGAGGGGCAGUUAUGUCCGCGGGAGCGAAAUAACACCCCUGUGAGGGAGGAGUCGUACCGAUGGCACCGAGACUGAGUGACUUGUCCAAGAUCAUGGAGGAAAUCUGGGGUGAAUCAGGGAUUUGAACCUAGGCACUCCCAAGCCCCAGGCUGCACCUCUGACCACUAGACCAUCUUCCCGCCCACAGUCAGGGAAGCAGACUUCUCCCUAGCGCGGCCAACUUCUGAAGAUCAUGCUCCUGCUCCCAACAGAGAACCUGCCCCCAACCCAGUGCAGCCAGGCCUCAGCUGACGUGACAUGGCAAGAGGACGGUGGCCUUUGCGGUCUGAGUCUCCAUUGCCUUGCCCCGCGCAGUCACUCAUCCCUGCGUUCAGGGGAUGUAAAGCACCAUCCCCCACUUAAGGGCUCCGCCACAGCCAGCUGCCACAUUUGGAGACAACCCAUUGCCCACGUCUAGAACAUUUCAACAGCAGCCCCUGUCGUACAAGGCAUGGGGCAAAAUACAACAGCCACCUCUUAACGGGGUCCAAUCUGGCCCUCCUUGGCUAGGACAGGAGCUGCAGAGCAGCGUGGCGGGGGGGACCAUGGUGCAGCUGCAAUCUGGAAGUGGGCCUGAAUCAAAUGACCUGGAGCCAAACGAUCAAUUGGAGGGAGAGCCAUGGGAACCGUUACAGCGAUAGCCUUAAGGAGUUCAAGCUAUGUGGCUUAACAGAGAGCCGGUUAAGGAGUGGGGAACCAAAGAUUUGAUAAGGGGCUCUCCUGUCUGACAUGAUAGAGCGGCUGGAAGUUGAAGGCAGCCAGACUGAGAUGGGAAAUAAGGCGCCCGUGUUUUAACAGUGCGGGUAUCUAACCACUGGCAUGGCUUUCCAAGGGUGGAUUCGCCAUCGCUAGCCAUUUUUAAACCAGGAUGGGACGUCUGUCUAAAAGAUCUGCUCUCAUUCGAGCAGGAAUCCAUUCAGGGCAGUCCUCUGCUUGUGUUACGGCAGAGGUCAGACUCCAUGACCCCAGGGCUCCGUUCCAGCCUGGGAUUUGAUCAAACACCCCCAGUUUGAGAUUCGGGGAAAUUCACUGGUGAAAAUGAAGGGGUCCCCCGCCAAGCACAGAGAACAUCCCUUGUGGUGGAGGCGGGCGCUGAACCAACACAGCUGACCAGGCAGGACUUACCCCUGUGG